AGAUCCAUAAAUCCAUAUUUUCUAUUGAAAAAGCAGCUACAUGAAUAGCAUGUGCUCUUUUUUUCUUAAGGGGUGUUAAACAUAACUAAGUAGUUAUUCUCAGUAAUAAUCAUUUUAAAUAUUACAAUAAUUUCGAUUGUUUUCUUGAAAAACAAUGUACAUUGUAAAUGGACUGCAGCUAAAGUGAACCAAAACAAGUGUGAAUGUAAGACCUAGGACCCUUUUUGAUUCAUUUCACUUUUUGGACCACUUAAAGGGGUCUGCGUUUGUUUUAGUAAAGAGGAAGUGUGAAAACAUCCUUAAAGUUGGGAUCAGGUUGGAGCGAUUCGACAUCAGCAUCUUAAAGUGACUGGCUGUCUCUCUCGGUCUGUUGCGUGGUAGUUUUUAGAGGAAGAAGGCGUGACUACAGGCACACAACAAUACUGAACUGCACCCAUGUCAGACUCACAGAUCAAACUCAUUUCGAAUGCAUCGGACAUAAUAAUAAAGGAAACAACAAGUGCACGCUAUAACAAGUUUGUUGGAGAUAAGUUAUCUGAUGUUAGGCAGCAGAGGAAUAUGCAUUUUCUCUUUCAAUGCUGAAGAGCAACGCCUGUUCUCGACAACAACAAACUCAAGCCCGUGGACGUGAACUAGGAAACGGACGAUGCCUGUGUGUUAACCAUGACCGUCGGCUAGUUUUCCCGGACGGUUUCUUUUGGAUUAGUCUGUAAAUUCACCAAACGUGACAUACUGCAUCGAUUUAGUCGCCAAAAAGCAGCGCGUGGACGAGUCGGAAACUCGCGCGCCAUUGAAAACAAGUAAGCUCGGUUGGUGCUAUCAUACUUUGCUUAUUGGGAUACAAAGUUGUCAUAUUCCACCUAAAAUAAAAAUGAAACCACUCUUGGUAGUCAGCCGCUUACAUUCAUGACGUGCAGACUUUCUAAACGUGGCGCUGAAGCUAAACGAUGUUUCUUUUGUCAGCGGUGCAUCCCUGCAUUUCCUGUUCAGCGCUUCAUCUGCUCGGGCUGUGUGCUAGCGAUAGCAGCUAAGGGCUUGGAAAGUGCAUGCGAUUUGUUUAACCAUUUGUAUGUUAUGUACAAACUCCAUGUAGCAUUGAGAACGUGUUUAAAGAGCACGAGGGCAACUGCGGAUGUUUGCACGAGCCCCGCGCGUGUCUGUAAAACUUCGGCCUCGCGACUCUUUGUGCUAUUGUUGAUGUCCACGGUGUGGUGGGCCACGAUGACACUUUUAAGUGUUUUAUUCAUGGGAAAUGUGCACAGUCCUUAUUUGAAGCAUGCAUAAUGUUCAAAGCAUACCCACAAGCCCUUUCAAGUGAUUAUUUUUGAUAAAGUGAGACAUGCGAGGUUUGGUGGCGCUCCUUUGUUAUUGCUUUGUCUGUGUGAAAGCACAUGGCCCUCCACGCUUUUGUUGUUGAAGUUACAGCUCCCCCUCUUUGUGGCAAAUCAACCCAGUCUUUCCAUUAAACACGGUUUACGCUUCCAGUUUAGUUCGGACAAUCUGAGGCUGUUAGACACAAGUGCCUCUUGCACUACUGGUCUCCCCACCCCAGGCAGGUGUGACUCGUUCGUACGACGUCACAAAUGCGACCAUGGGAAGUAGCAGUGAGUAGGCGGCAAUCAACAGCCCCCUUAAACCAGAGGAGGGUCAUCGCGGAGCCUUGCAUCACCCCUCUGCACCUCAGGAGAAGUCCUCCAGUACGACGUCAGUGGGGACAGCGGGAUAGACCUACUGUGCACACUUCCCUACAUCAGGAUGAGAACUUCCACCACCCUGUCUUCUCCCAGCAUCGGCAGAUUCAUUUAGAUGAGUCCAGGCAAUAUAGCCACACCAGUGCACCGCCACGCAUGCUGCAUACUUCCACACAACCCCCCCAACAGAGCUCCAUCAUGGUGGAUCUUCACGAACAGGUAUUAGGUGUUGUUUUC